rnacentral:misc_RNA from 1 species
GAUGAAGAACGCAGCGAAAUGCGAUAAGUAAUGUGAAUUGCAGAAUUCAGUGAAUCAUCGAAUCUUUGAACGCACAUUGCGCCCCCUGGUAUUCCGGGGGGCAUGCCUGUUCGAGCGUCAUUUCACCACUCAAGCCUCGCUUGGUAUUGGGCAACGCGGUCCGCCGCGUGCCUCAAAUCGACCGGCUGGGUCUUCUGUCCCCUAAGCGUUGUGGAAACUAUUCGCUAAAGGGUGUUCGGGAGGCUACGCCGUAAAACAACCCCAUUUCUAAGGUUGACCUCGGAUCAGGUAGGGAUACCCGCUGAACUUAAGCAUAUCAAUAAGCGGUGGA